ensembl:lncRNA
CCAGUAUUCUUGCCUGGAGAAUUCCAUGGAUAGAGGAGCCUGGUGGGCUACAGUUCAUGCGGUCACAGAGACAUGACUGAAUGACUCACACACAUACUGCAGUUAGAGGCUAAGAACAUUAAGUUAUUGCCAUUUGGAAAAGACAUCCUUAAAGGAAUAUACGGGAUCAUGCAAAAGUUUUACAGUUAACUUCAGGAGAUGAGAUCAAAGACUCAGCCAUAACACUCUGCAACUGAACAAACAGCCAUCACCCCAGAAAUAAGGAGAGUCACCAAUUUUAGACAAAUCUGCUAAAACUUGGGUGAAAAUCCU